rnacentral:rRNA from 1 species
UAGGGAAUCUUCCACAAUGGACGAAAGUCUGAUGGAGCAACGCCGCGUGAGUGAAGAAGGGUUUCGGCUACGUAAAACUCUGUUGUUAAAGAAGAACACGUAUGAGAGUAACUGUUCAUACGUUGACGGUAUUUAACCAGAAAGUCACGGCUAACUACGUGCCAG